GGGGUUGUGGCUCAGCGGUAGAGCACUCACCUAGCAUGUGGGAGGCCCUGGGUUCGAUCCUCAGCACCACA
rnacentral:tRNA from 1 species